rnacentral:rRNA from 1 species
CGCUAUCACUCCUACGGGGAGGCAGCAGUAGGAAUCUUCCACAAUGGGCGCAAGCCUGAUGGAGCAACACCGCGUGAGUGAAGAAGGGUUUCGGUUCGUAAAGCUCUGUUGUUAAAGAAGAACACGUAUGAGAGUAACUGUUCAUACGUUGACGGUAUUUAACCAGAAAGUCACGGCUAACUACGUGCCAGCAGCCGCGGUAAUACGUAGGUGGCAAGCGUUAUCCGGAUUUAUUGGGCGUAAAGAGAGUGCAGGCGGUUUUCUAAGUCUGAUGUGAAAGCCUUCGGCUUAACCGGAGAAGUGCAUCGGAAACUGGAUAACUUGAGUGCAGAAGAGGGUAGUGGAACUCCAUGUGUAGCGGUGGAAUGCGUAGAUAUAUGGAAGAACACCAGUGGCGAAGGCGGCUACCUGGUCUGCAACUGACGCUGAGACUCGAAAGCAUGGGUAGCGAACAGGAUUAGAUACCCUGGUAG